UAAUCAGCUGCGAGCGGUUCACCUUUGAGGAUGAACUACCAGCGGCGGCUGUGCUCGACAUCCUUCCUCUCUGACGAUUGCGGAGGCCACGGCAACAAAGACGAUGGCGCCGGUGCCGGAGGGAUGACCCCGGAGGCAAGGUAUACUCCCCUCUCUCGUACGUCGAGUGCUCCCCCUUUCUCUCUUGAUGCGGUGGCGACCAGGGGGCAAAUUGGGCAGUGUAAAGGUACGGCGCGAGCUCGGCGACGGCAAUGACUUCUCCGGCGUCCCUCUCCACGUCUGGUGGUUUGCUCGCAUGGAACGGGGCAAAGAAAGAGGUAGAAGACCAAGAAAGGAGAUGAAAGAAAAGAGGGGAGCUUGCAUACUGAAUGGGAUGACGGAGUAGAACUUCGCUCGAAUGUGGGAUCAAUUCGGAGAUCAUACAUGAGGAGAAGAAGAGGAGGAGCUCAACGCUGCAGCAGAGAAAUAACACUAGAGUAUCGCCUUAGAUCCAGCCUUUGGUGAUAGCGCUGUUUCUAGAUUUUCUUCUCUGUUUGGAUGAACUGUUCCUUCUUUCUUCUUUGGAGCUCCACUGCUUAAAAUUAAAAAAAGGAACCAUGUUCAGUUGUUUUCACUUGGAGUGAAGUAGGGAUGCUUCUACUAUAUCAGGAGGGUCAUCCCAUCAUUGCGAAUCUGCUCUGUUGCAAAAGAUGAAACACAUGGAAACCAGAAAGCGUAAAGCACAAGAAAAUGUGAAAAAACAACCCGCACACAGCGAGCAACGAAGAAUCACGCCCCCAAAAUAAGCACAAAUCAUUCAAGCACAAGUAACUGUGAUAUUAAUGCCCAGUGUCACUGACUCCCUGGUAAGGAGUAUAACGUUUUGUUAGGUUUUGAGUGGGUCAAACCACUUCCAUCGGAGCUGAUCAUACCUCUGAAUAGACCAAAAUUUAAACCUUUUGAUUCAAUGAUCUUGCUAAAGGACACAAAUGUGUCUUUUUUUUAAAAUGUUGACUCGUCCUGAACACUACUAGUGAGGCCUCAGAACUCUCCAGUUGCAGACCUGAACACUAUGAGACAUGGUAGCAACUAGCAACACGAAAGAUGCCGAAUCAGGUUUUCCUUUUUCAAUUCAUGGAAGCACUAACCUUCUGUGAAAGCACUGCAUACACCUGCAGUACACUAACCUUUUUAGGUUUGCUUCUCGGAUUUUUACACUGAGCUUAAGGAAAAUGAUGAAUGGUUAAGCACCUAUUUAUUUCUAGCUUUGAUCUGUUUGGUUCUUGAUACACACUGAAGAGAAAGAUAUAGCUGGACGGCGCCUAUUUUAUGUUGAUGUAAACAAGUGACGUAAUCUACGUCACAUGCAAGUUUGGAAAAUGUAUUAGUUGGACAUGCUCCUAUUUUUUGUUGGCCCCAUAUAUAUUACCUUGUCUCUAAUAAUUCUUACAUUAUCUAGCGAACUUGGGCUGGCUCCAUACUGUACACUAGAUUUUUGUACGUGGCUGGUUGGAAACAUCAUGUUGGUGGACACUGACCAUCUCCCAGUUCGUCAAUAUUCAUGAAAGCUGAGUUAGAUUUAUUUUAAUUACCAUGAGUUGGACCCUGAUCCUCAUCCAGCCUGUCAAACUUUGCUGUUUUAUUUUUGUUUAACCCGCCCUCAAUCCAGGAUUAAUCUUCUAUUCUAUAAUAGGAAUUUUUUUAUUUUUUAUUCAGGUUGUUGCUUUCUUUUCUGUAGCAUAAACCAGAUGGGAAUGUACUAUUUUUGGCGAGUAAUCAUAUGAUUCUAGCUAGGCUCCAUGAACUGAAUUUUUCCUUAGCCAUGAAUACUGUAAAGAAGAUCCACACAAUCAUUUUGGCUUUAGAUUCUUAUAUACUGGAAAAUGUUGACUUUGUUCACAUUUAACCUAUUUUCCUAUCUUACAGAGCAAGCCAUUAUGCUUGGCGGUUUUGGCAUUUGCCUUACCAUUAUAUGUAUCUUACCAAUUAUGUGUUUCAUUUUGAUGACUCUUUCAUGACAGACAAUGUCUUAAAUGGUUACAAGACAUAGACUAGUUCAGUAUGAUGACUCCCGGUAUUGUAUCUGCCACAGUUUAAUAAAAGACACGGUUAGUGUGCAUUGAAAGUUUGAAACAACAGUUAUAGUGUUUGGCCUUUUAUCUUAUUUCUCUCUAUUUUUGAUUCAGACCGUGCAGCCAGCGUGUUAUGGGUUCAUGUGAUUCUGAUGAAUUUAGUCAUCCAAAUCACUCCGCUAACUUUCAUUUCAACCUUGUUUCCAGUUUAGAGUACCAAAGGUUGUUUAAUCCUUUUAAGUGUUAUAUGUGCUUGUGAGUUGGUGGCCUCUACCUGUUCAUUGGUAUACUUCUGAGAACUAAAAAUAUUCUGUUUUUCAGGUAUCUGUUCAAGCGGACGACGUUUAAUGUAUGAGGGAUAGAGAGAAAUGUCUUUGUAUUUAUGGUGGGCAGAGUAAUAUUGAACAAAAUUCAGGCCUUCUUUUACUAAUACCCAGAAGCUAAAUUCAGGUUUUGGUGAGAAGAAAAGUGAACCUAAAGGCUACAGUACUAUUAAUAGGAUACUAUGUUGGUUACAGCCCAUGGAUAAUAGUGUUUCAGUCACUAGACAGAUUGCUGAACAGAUGAAGUUGAUGUAAAAUCUCUGGUCACCUGCCAAUUAAGCCUUGAAGAUCAAGUUCAACAUUAGUCACUUUUCAAGUUUGGUAGUAUUCAGUUUGCAAUAGUGAUUUCUGAAUUUUCAGGCUGCUGGUAACUUAGUGCUAAGUGGCAUUCAAUUGUGUCAAGAUGAAUUUGAUUUGUAAUUGCAAGGAUAGUUUUUGUUACGUGAGGUAUUUCUCGGAACCACUAUGUAUUAGAUCACUUUGUUAUUCCACAGUUACCAAAAA